rnacentral:lncRNA from 1 species
AAAAGUGAAAUGUGGAGCUUAUAAUUCACUGUGAAGAUGAUAGUAAAAAUAAAGUGAGAGAGAUGAAAGCGAAGGUACCUUGACAACACUUAAGGAUUGAAGGGAGCGACCUCCCUCUACUCCAAAAUUUUCCAAAAUUUUUAAUCGGCUUCAAUUUGAAUGAUUCUUAGCUUGUUGCAAGGCUGACUUGAAGGCACUUUUGAUCCAACAAUCUUCGUUGCAAUAUAAUGAUCCAAUCAU